rnacentral:rRNA from 1 species
UACGUAGGGGCAAGCGUUGUCCGGAAUUACUGGGCGUAAAGCGCGUGUAGGUGGUGGGACAAGUCUGCUGUGAAAGCGCCUGGCUUAACCGGCGAGUCGGCGGAACUGUUCACUGGAGGACGGUAGAGGGGGUGGAAUUCCGGUGUAGUGGUGAAAUGCGUAGAUAUUCGAAGACACCAGUGGCGAAGGCGGCUCACUGGUCCGGUACUGGACGCUGAGGUG